rnacentral:tRNA from 1 species
GGAGGGUUAGUCCUAAUCGGUAAGGCAGCAGACUUGAAAUCUGCCGGGCUUUAUGCCCUUGGGGGUUCGAGUCCCUCACCCUCCG